GGGGGAUUAGCUCAGCUGGGAGAGCGCCGGCUUUGCAAGCCGGAUGUCACCGGUUCGAGCCCGGUAUCCUCCA
rnacentral:tRNA from 1 species